UACGGAGGGGACUAGCGUCGUUCGGAAUUACUGGGCGUAAAGCGCACGUAGGCGGAUUUGUAAGUCAGGGGGGAAAUCCCGGGGCUCAACCUCGGAACUGCCUUUGAUACUGCAAAUCUCGAGUCCGGAAGAGGUGAGUGGAAUUCCUAGUGUAGAGGUGAAAUUCGUAGAUAUUAGGAAGAACACCAGUGGCGAAGGCGGCUCACUGGUCCGGUACUGACGCUGAGGUGCGAAAGCGUGGGGAGCAAACAGG
rnacentral:rRNA from 1 species